rnacentral:tRNA from 1 species
AAGUAAGUAAGCUAAACACCCAAGCUCUUAGGUUCAUACCCUAAAUAUAGAUUUUAAUCUCUUACUUA